rnacentral:rRNA from 1 species
UGGGGAAUAUUGGACAAUGGGCGCAAGCCUGAUCCAGCCAUGCCGCGUGUGUGAAGAAGGCCUUCGGGUUGUAAAGCACUUUCAGCGAGGAGGAAGGGAGUUGUGUUAAUAGCACAGCUUCUUGACGUUACUCGCAGAAGAAGCACCGGCUAACUCUGUGCCAGCAGCCGCGGUAAUACAGAGGGUGCAAGCGUUAAUCGGAAUUACUGGGCGUAAAGCGCACGUAGGCGGUUUUUAAGUCAGAUGUGAAAGCCCCGGGCUCAACCUGGGAAUUGCAUUGGAGACUGCAAGGCUAGAAUCUGGCAGAGGGGGGUAGAAUUCCACGUGUAGCAGUGAAAUGCGUAGAUAUGCGGAGGAACACCGAUGGCGAAGGCAAUCCCCUGGACCUGUACUGACGCUCAUGCACGAAAGCGUGGGAGCAAACAGGAUUAGAUACCCGCGUAGUCCCUGAGCGGGCUGGCAAGGCGCAU